GUGGGGAAUCUUAGACAAUGGGCGCAAGCCUGAUCUAGCCAUGCCGCGUGAGCGAUGAAGGCCUUAGGGUUGUAAAGCUCUUUCGCUGGGGAAGAUAAUGACUGUACCCAGUAAAGAAGCCCCGGCUAACUCCGUGCCAGCAGCCGCGGUAAUACGGAGGGGGCUAGCGUGGUUCGGAAUUACUGGGCGUAGAGCGCGCGUAGGCGGAUUGGAAAGUUGGGGGUGAAAUCCCGGGGCUCAACCUCGGAACUGCCUUCAAAACUCCCAGUCUUGAGUUCGAGAGAGGUGAGUGGAAUUCCGAGUGUAGAGGUGAAAUUCGUAGAUAUUCGGAGGAACACCAGUGGCGAAGGCGGCUCACUGGCUCGAUACUGACGCUGAGGUGCGAAAGCGUGGGGAGUAAACAGGAUUAGAAACCCUGGUAGUCC
rnacentral:rRNA from 1 species